AUUGAACGCUGGCGGCAGGCCUAACACAUGCAAGUCGAACGGUAACAGGAAACAGCUUGCUGUUUCGCUGACGAGUGGCGGACGGGUGAGUAAUGUCUGGGAAACUGCCUGAUGGAGGGGGAUAACUACUGGAAACGGUAGCUAAUACCGCAUAACGUCGCAAGACCAAAGAGGGGGACCUUCGGGCCUCUUGCCAUCGGAUGUGCCCAGAUGGGAUUAGCUAGUAGGUGGGGUAACGGCUUACCUAGGCGACGAUCCCUAGCUGGUCUGGUAGGAUGAGCAGCCACACUGGAACUGAGACACGGUCCAGACUCCUACGGGAGGCAGCAGUGGGGAAUAUUGCACAAUGGGCGCAAGCCUGAUGCAGCCAUGUCGCGUGUAUGAAGAAGGCCUUCGGGUUGUAAAGUACUUUCAGCGGGGAGGAAGGUGUUGAGGUUAAUAACCUCAGCAAUUGACGUUACCCGCAGAAGAAGCACCGGCUAACUCCGUGCCAGCAGCCGCCGCAG
rnacentral:rRNA from 1 species